UUGCUCUUCAACGAGGAAUACCUAGUAAGCGUGAGUCAUCAGCUCGCGUUGAUUACGUCCCUGCCCUUUGUACACACCACCCGUCGCUACUACCGAUUGAAUGGCUUAGUGAGGUCUUGGGAUUGGCUUCGGGGAGCCGGCAACGGCACCUUGUUGCUGAGAACUUGAUCAAACUUGGUCAUUUAGAGGAAGUAAAAGUCGUAACAAGGUUUCCGUAGGUGAACCUGCGGAAGGAUCAUUAUCGAGUUUUAUGAACAGGUUGUCGCUGGCCUUUCACGAGGCAUGUGCACGCUUGGCUCAUUUUCCACUCUUCAACUUCUGUGCACUUUUUGUAAGAACCGGUGAAAGCCAGCUGGGUAACGGCUGGUAGAAACCUCUUCUUAUGUUUUAUUACACACGCCUCAGUUUAUAGAAUGUCAAUGUUGUGUGUAACACAAUUUAUAUAUAACUUUCAGCAACGGAUCUCUUGGCUCUCGCAUCGAUGAAGAACGCAGCGAAAUGCGAUAAGUAAUGUGAAUUGCAGAAUUCAGUGAAUCAUCGAAUCUUUGAACGCACCUUGCGCUCCUUGGCAUUCCGAGGAGCAUGCCUGUUUGAGUGUCAUGGAAUUCUCAACCCUUCAGAUUUUGUUAUUUGACUGGGCUUGGACUUGGAGGUUGUGUCGGCUCUAGCCAGUCGACUCCUCUCAAAUGCAUUAGCGUGAAUCUUACGGAUCACUUCAGUGAUGAUAAUUAUCUGCGCUGUGGUGUUGAAGUAUUUAUGUGUUUGUGCUUACAAUCGUCUUUUGAAAGACAAUUACUUGACAAUCUGACCUCAAAUCAGGUAGGACUACCCGCUGAACUUAAGCAUAUCAAUAAGCGGAGGA
rnacentral:rRNA from 1 species